rnacentral:rRNA from 1 species
UACGUAGGGUGCAAGCGUUGCCCGGAUUUAUUGGGCGUAAAGGGCGCGCAGGCGGCUACGCACGUCCGUUGUGAAAUCGCUCGGCUCAACUGGGCGGGGUCGGCGGAUACGGCGUAGCUGGAGCAAGCUAGGGGGCAAUGGAAUUCCCGGUGUAGUGGUGGAAUGCGUAGAUAUCGGGAGGAACACCGGUGGCGAAGGCGGCGACCUGGGUCGAGACUGACGCUGAGGCGCGAAAGCGUGGGGAGCAAACAGG